CCCUUAGAUGUCCGGGGCUGCACGCGCGCUACACUGAAGGAAUCAGCGUGCUAAAACCAUUGUCGAAAGGCAUUGGUAAACCCAUUAAAAUCCUACGUGAUUGGGAUCGGGAAUUGCAAUUAUUUCCCUUGAACGAGGAAUUCCCAGUAAGUGUGGGUCAUAAGCUCGCGUUGAUUACGUCCCUGCCCUUUGUACACACCGCCCGUCGCUCCUACCGAUUGAAUGGUCCGGUGAAAUGUUCGGACCGCGACAAGGCGGACGGUUCGCUGUCAGCUUUGCUGCGGGAAGUUCAUUAAACCUUAUCAUUUAGAGGAAGGAGAAGUCGUAACA
rnacentral:rRNA from 1 species